GAUGAACGCUGGCGGCGUGCCUAAUACAUGCAAGUCGAGCGAACAGACGAGGAGCUUGCUCCUCUGACGUUAGCGGCGGACGGGUGAGUAACACGUGGAUAACCUACCUAUAAGACUGGGAUAACUUCGGGAAACCGGAGCUAAUACCGGAAAAUAUAUUGACCCGCAUGGUUCAAUAGUGAAAGACGGUUUUGCUGUCACUAAUAGAUGGAUCCGCGCCGCAUUAGCUAGUUGGUAAGGUAACGGCUUACCAAGGCAACGAUGCGUAGCCGACCUGAGAGGGUGAUCGGCCACACUGGAACUGAGACACGGUCCAGACUCCUACGGGAGGCAGCAGUAGGGAAUCUUCCGCAAUGGGCGAAAGCCUGACGGAGCAACGCCGCGUGAGUGAUGAAGGUCUUCGGAUCGUAAAACUCUGUUAUUAGGGAAGAACAAAUGUGUAAGUAACUAUGCACGUCUUGACGGUACCGAAUCAGAAAGCCACGGCUAACUACGUG
rnacentral:rRNA from 1 species